AACGAACGCUAGCGGCGCGUUUCAAGCAUGCAAGUCGAACGAUAAUAGGCCGUGUUCUUCGGAACAUAGCUUAGGAAAGUGGCGAACGGGUGAGUAACACGUGGAUAAUCUGCCCUGUGGUUUGGGAUAGCUGGUGGAAACACUAGGUAAUACCGGAUACACUUUUUGCACACAAGUGCAAAAAGAAAGGAUGCAAUUGCACCGCCAUGGGAUGAGUCUGCGGCCUACUAGUUUGUUGGUGAGGUAAUGGCUCACCAAGACCAUAAUAGGUAGCCGGCCUGAGAGGGUGAUCGGCCACACUGGGGACUGAGACACUGCCCAGACUUCUACGGAAGGCAGCAGCUAAGAAUCUUCCGCAAUGGGCGCAAGCCUGACGGAGCGACGCCGCGUGUGUGAUGAAGGCCGUGAGGUUGUAAAACACUUUUCUCGCUGAAGAAUAAGCUUGGGAGGAAAUGCCCAAGUGAUGACAUUAAGCGAGGAAUAAGCCCGG
rnacentral:rRNA from 1 species